rnacentral:rRNA from 1 species
AACGAACGCUGGCGGCAUGCCUAACACAUGCGGGUCGAACGAGACCUUCGGGUCUAGUGGCGCACGGGUGCGUAACGCGUGGGAACCUGCCCUUAGGUUCGGAAUAACUCCCCGAAAGGGGUGCUAAUACCGGAUAAUGUCUUCGGACCAAAGAUUUAUCGCCUUUGGAUGGGCCCGCGUUGGAUUAGCUAGUUGGUAGGGUAAAAGCCUACCAAGGCGACGAUCCAUAGCUGGUCUGAGAGGAUGAUCAGCCACACUGGGACUGAGACACGGCCCAGACUCCUACGGGAGGCAGCAGUGGGGAAUAUUGGACAAUGGGCGAAAGCCUGAUCCAGCAAUGCCGCGUGAGUGAUGAAGGCCUUAGGGUUGUAAAGCUCUUUUACCCGGGAUGAUAAUGACAGUACCGGGAGAAUAAGCGCCGGCUAACUCCGUG